CACCCAGCAGGAUGACACUUGUUAACCGUCGUGGUCUAACUGUUUGAAUUGACGGCCCGAGCGCUCCGCGGCCGCUGAUUGGAGGAGCCAGGCGGCCACGUGACAGAGCUCGCGAUCAGGUGACUUAGCAGGAAGCAGCCCCCGGCGGCUCGGGAGAGGUGGAACAACAGAGAGCUUUUCUGUGCCCUUGAUCAUUCUGGUCACUCUUUGAACCCCUUCCAAAUCUGCAAUGGCCUUUAGAGAUGAGGAGACCAGCACUACACUCAGUAUUCCAGCUAAGGCAACAUCAUUGAUUUAUGUAAAGGUAAGACAAAACAUGAAGUCCUGGCUGUCUGUGAUCAUGUAAGCACCCGAGGCACUCUUUAUGACAGAAAGGUUGUUAUCCCUGGUUUCCUGACCAAAUUCUAAUGCUGGGGACAUUUCAGCUGUUUUCUUGAUUAAGAGCCAUCCUAUAAUGGAGGAUCUUCAUUUCUCUUUCAUUUGAAUCAACCGUUUGCAGUUUAUCUGCGUCUUUCUGGUAAUGGGGUGGCUAGAACAGAAUGGAAUAUACAAUGGCAACAAGGCAGAGAGUGUUGAGAUCUGAAGACGCAAGAGACAAUGAUCAGAUCUGGACAAGAUUUUUGCAAUCUCGAAUUGUGGAAAUGUUGGGAAGUCAACUGUCCUCAUGAGAUUUCUUCUUUGUUCAUCAAAAAUCUCACCAGAACGGCUGUUUGAGGAAAAUACAGCCCCAUCUGUUCAGGGUCAGAAGGAAGGCUCCAUCUGAUUUUAGACCCAGCCCAAGCUAUAAUGGAGAUUGACAUGGUAUGGGUUGAUGGAUCAGCAGACAGACAAGCAGAUUGGAACCAGCAUCAUAGCGGACUCAGAAUCUGAAUUGUCUGAAAUUUGAAAUGGUGCUGAUUUGAAAUUAUUGUUGCAGUUCAUACUUAGUACAAGGUCAAUCAGUAAUCAUGCUGCUUGUCAAGUUAUCUUUGGUGGCAAUAAUGACCCAACAGCCAACACUUCAUGCUAUGGCAAAAGUUGCUGCAUAUAACAGAUAUGUUGGCACAAAAUCAAAGAAAGUUUUUUCCUAUAGAUAUCCAUCUGAGUGAAUUCUCAUUAGAUUAAUGGACACUACCCUCAUUAGCCAGGCAUUCCAAUGGUGCUACAUACAAUUAUGAAAUAUUAAUCAUUACCAGCAGUAGUAACCCAGGAAUUGUGCCCCCUACCACAGCACCCCGUUUCCCUGACUUAGUGAGAACAGUUAGGUUUUAUUAGGAUGAAAAAUAUGAUUCACCUAUGAGGUCUGCAUUCCCCAUCAUAUAUCUUAAAAAACAGUCAAACAAAAACAGGCCUUGCUCCAAGUGCAAUGUUCAUUGAACUACAUAUUGGGUUGCUACUGACAGCACAAUAGAAGAAUCAUAACCUUAAGCUUAUUUAUAUAAAACUUUACAAAAGUCAGUACGUU